rnacentral:rRNA from 1 species
CAGCCGCCGCGGUAAAACCAGCACCUCGAGUGGUCAGGAGGUUUAUUGGGCCUAAAGCAUCCGUAGCCGGUUGCAUAAGUUUUCGGUUAAAUCUAUGCGCUUAACGUAUAGGCCGCCGAAAAUACUGUGCAGCUAGGGAGUGGGAGAGGUACACGGUACUCGAUAGGAAGGGGUAAAAUCCUUUGAUCUAUUGAUGACCACCUGUGGCGAAGGCGGUGUACCAGAACACGUUCGACGGUGAGGGAUGAAAGCUGGGGGAGCAAACCGGAUUAGAUACCCCCGUAGUCCCUGUCUCUUAUAC